rnacentral:rRNA from 1 species
UGGGGAAUUUUGGACAAUGGGCGAAAGCCUGAUCCGGCAAUGCCGCGUGUGUGAAGAAGGCCUUCGGGUUGUAAAGCACUUUUGUCCGGAAAGAAAUCCUUGGCUCUAAUACAGUCGGGGGAUGACGGUACCGGAAGAAUAAGCACCGGCUAACUACGUGCCAGCAGCCGCGGUAAUACGUAGGGUGCAAGCGUUAAUCGGAAUUACUGGGCGUAAAGCGUGCGCAGGCGGUUUGCUAAGACCGAUGUGAAAUCCCCGGGCUCAACCUGGGAACUGCAUUGGUGACUGGCAGGCUAGAGUAUGGCAGAGGGGGUAGAAUUCCACGUGUAGCAGUGAAAUGCGUAGAGAUGUGGAGGAAUACCGAUGGCGAAGGCAGCCCCCUGGGCCAAUACUGACGCUCAUGCACGAAAGCGUGGGGAGCAAACAGGAUUCAGGAUACCCUGGUAGUCCAGCGCCCUAAACGAUGUCCAACUAAGUUGUUGGGGAUUCAAUUUCCUUAGUAACGUAGCUAACGCGUGAAGUUGACCGCCU